AAAUAUUUGAACCCAGGAAUAAAAUAGAAGCCUGGAAGACUGAAGGAUAUGGGCCUGGUUGAUCCACUUCAGAUUCAUCCCCUGUUUUAUUAGAGGUUGAAAAAGGUUCAAGACCUGGUUGUACCACAGCUCCCACCGACAGCUAAGGAACCAGUUUGGCGUCUGGUUUGUCUGUUGUUUUACUGCUGACCUUCAAAUCAACUUUAACCCCUGACCUCUGGAGGCAUCUAUCAUGACAAGAGGCUGUUUAACACAAAUGGUGCCCAUUUAUAGGGGAAGAGACUCUGAAGAUUUCCUUUUUAUGAAGAAUUUAGUUUUUCACCCCUCUUUUCUCAGUCACCACAGGUGAAAUCCCUCUCAGCAGCUGGCUUAUGAAAUAAUGUGAAGGGAGGCCUUAAUGAGCAGAACGCACCCUCAGCUGGAGAUAAAUAUAUGCAAAUGAGAUGCACAAACAAAGAAGCCUGGACAGAGAAAUAUCUGCAAUUCCAGCAAAAUGCUGCCUGCAGCUCGAAGAUGAACAGCUUUGAUAAAAUGGUAACAAAAAGCACCUUUUUAUCCUCCAGCGUGUUUUACAUUGCAAUAGACCAUUGUCAUUGCAACCCAGUGGAGCAUGCAGAGGUUUUCUGCACUGUUUCAGAAAACUGUUUAAACAUUUGUUUUAAGGCAUUCAUGAAAUAUAAUCAAUGAACUGCU
rnacentral:lncRNA from 1 species